rnacentral:rRNA from 1 species
GAUGAACGCUGGCGGCGUGCCUAAUACAUGCAAGUCGAGCGAACAGACGAGGAGCUUGCUCCUCUGACGUUAGCGGCGGACGGGUGAGUAACACGUGGAUAACCUACCUAUAAGACUGGGAUAACUUCGGGAAACCGGAGCUAAUACCGGAUAAUAUAUUGAACCGCAUGGGUCAAUAGUGAAAGACGGUUUUGCUGUCACUUAUAGAUGGAUCCGCGCCGCAUUAGCUAGUUGGUAAGGUAACGGCUUACCAAGGGAACGAUGCGUAGCCGACCUGAGAGGGUGGUCGGCCACCCUGGAACUGAGACACGGUCCAGACUCCUACGGGAGGCAGCAGUAGGGAAUCUUCCGCAAUGGGCGAAAGCCUGACGGAGCGACGCCGCGUGAGUGAUGAAGGUCUUCGGAUCGUAAAACUCUGUUAUUAGGGAAGAACAAAUGUGUAAGUAACUAUGCACGUCUUGACGGUACCUAAUCAGAAAGCCACGGCUAACUACGUG